AACAAAUUACGCCCUUCCAUUGCGAGUGCAGCACAUCCUUUCAUACAUCAAAAGGCAGACAACUUUAACAGCAAAAAUGUAAAGUAACUAUGAAAUUAUAACUCUUCUGUGUUCAUUGUAGAAAGGGUCCUUAAUUGAUUUAAGUGGAAAUACCACUGUAGAAUUUACUUGAUUAUUACUUUUGAUGGAAGCAUUGGAAGCAACACAACAAAUUACGAUCUACAAUGUUCUUUCAUUUACUGGGAGAAUAAGACAAAAUGUUUUAUGUCAGAUUUUUGAAUUAAUGGCGUGAAUUCAUCUCAUUAUAUUUGCGUGUAUUUGAUGCACUGUUUUAUAAUUGCAUCUACGUUUUGACGUACGUAUUGUCUGUGGCUGCUUUAUACAGAAAAUGACAAUAUAUUUUUGAUCUAAACUUUAAAAGUUUGAUGAAAACGAUAUAACUACUUUAAAGAUGCAGGUCUGGUUAUGUAGUGUAUAUAAUAUGAUCAAUAUGUUGAGAAUUCUAAAUUUCCGUUUAGAAAAAUUUUGAUAAAAAUAAAAUUGUGAUUUCU
rnacentral:misc_RNA from 1 species